rnacentral:rRNA from 1 species
CAGUCGCCACGGUAAUACGAAGGGUGCAAGCGUUACUCGGAAUUACUGGGCGUAAAGCGUGCGUAGGUGGUGGUUUAAGUCCGUUGUGAAAGCCCUGGGCUCAACCUGGGAAUUGCAGUGGAUACUGGGUCACUAGAGUGUGGUAGAGGAUAGUGGAAUUUCCGGUGUAGCAGUGAAAUGCGUAGAGAUCGGAAGGAACAUCUGUGGCGAAGGCGACUAUCUGGGCCAACACUGACACUGAGGUGCGAAAGCGUGGGGAGCAAACAGGAUUAGAGACCCCCGUAGUCCCUGUCUCUUAUAC